rfam:Schistosoma curassoni strain Dakar, Senegal genome assembly, scaffold: SCTD_contig0000099
AGCUUGCUGACGAGUGCUAAGUAGCACGAAACUCAAGUCCAAGGU